rnacentral:rRNA from 1 species
GAUGAACGCUAGCGGCAGGCUUAAUACAUGCAAGUCGUGGGGCAGCAUGAGUAGCAAUACUUGAUGGCGACCGGCAAACGGGUGCGGAACACGUACACAACCUUCCGAUAAGUGGGGAAUAGCCCAGAGGAAUUUGGAUUAAUACCCCGUAACAUAUAGAGUAGGCAUCUUCUUUAUAUUAUAGCUUCGGCGCUUAUUGAUGGGUGUGCGUCUGAUUAGGUAGUUGGCGGGGUAACGGCCCACCAAGCCUACGAUCAGUAGCUGAUGUGAGAGCAUGAUCAGCCACACGGGGCCUGAGACACGGGCCCGACUCCUACGGGAGGCAGCAGUAAGGAAUAUUGGACAAUGGGCGAAAGCCUGAUCCAGCCAUGCCGCGUGUGUGAAGAAGGCCUUAUGGUUGUAAAGCACUUUAAGCGAGGAGGAGGCUCUUUUGGUUAAUACCCAAGAUGAGUGGACGUUACUCGCAGAAUAAGCACCGGCUAACUCUGUGCCAGCCGCCGCCGUAA